UCUACACACAAUACCCUAUAAUGACAAAGUAAAAACUGGUUUUUAGAAAUGUUUGCAAAUUCAUGAUAAAAACGGAAAUAUUACAUUUUAAAUAAGUAUUCAUACCCUUUACUCAGUACUUUGUUGAAGCACCUUUGGCAGGGAUUACAGCCUUGGGUUUUCUUGUGUAUGACACUACAAACUUGGCACAUGUGUAUUUGGGGAGUUCCUUCAUUAUUCUCUGCAGAUCCUCUCAAGCUCUGUCAGGUUGGGUGUGGGGCGUCGCUGCACAGCUAUUUUCAGGUCUCUCCAUAGAUGUUUGAUCGGGUUCAUGUCCGGACUCUGGCUGGACCACUCAAGGACAUUCAGAGACCUCUCCUGAAGCCACUCCUGUGUUGUCUUGGCUGUGUGCUUAGGGUCAUUGUCCUCUUGGAAGGUGAACCUUCACGGCAGUCUGAGGUCCUGAGCAAUCUGGAGCAGGUUUUCAUCAAGGAUUUCCCUGUACUUUGCUCCGUUCAUCUUUCCCUCUACUCCCAGUCCCUGCCACUGAAAAACAUUGCCACAGCAUGAUGCUGCCACCACCAUGCUUCACCGUAGGGAUGGUACCAGGUUUCCUCCAGACGUAAUGCUUGGUAUUCAAGCUAAAGAGUUCAAUCUUGGUUUCAUCAGACCAGAGAAUCUAGUUUCUCAUGGUCUGAGAGUCCUUUAGGUGCCGUUUGGCAAACUCCAAGCGGGCGGUCAUGUGCCUUUUAUUGAGGAUUGGCUUCCAUCUGGCCACUACCAUAAAGGCCUGAUUAGUGGAGUGCUACAGAGAUGGGAGAACCUUCAAGAAGGACAACCAUCUCCACAGAGGAACUCUGGAGCUCUGUCAGAGUGUCACCUUCCUGACCAAGGCCCUUCUACCCCGAUUGCUCAGUUUGGGCAGGCGGCCAGCUCUAGGAAGAGUCUUGGUGGUUGCAAACGUCUUCCAUUUAAGAAUGACGGAGGCAGUGUUCUUGGGGACCUUCAAUGCUGCAUAAACGUGUUGGUACCCUUCCCCAGAUCUGUUCGACACAAUCCUGUAUCAGAGCUCUAUGGACAAUUCCGUCGACCGCAUGUCUUGGUUUUUGCUCCGACAUCCACUGUGGGACCUUGUAUAGACUGGUGUGCCCCUUUCCAAAUCAUAUCCAAUCAAUUGAAUUUACCGCAGGUGGACUUCAUCCUUGAUGUUUCUACAAAUUGAUGGAAACAUGAUGCACCGGAGCGCAAUUGAGUCUCAUUGCAAAGGGUCUGAAUACUUAUGUAAAUAAGGUAUUAAUGAUAUUUUUUUGUUGUAAAUUAACAACAUACUGUUUUCGCUAUGUCAUUAUAGGGUAUUGUGUGUAGAUUGAGGGAAACAAUAUUUAAUCCAUUUUAGAAUAAGGCUGUAACGUAACAAAAUGUGGGAAGAGUCCAGGGAUCUGAAUACAUUGUGUGUAAAAAAAAAAAAAGACAUGUAUUUUAUUACGGCCCAUGAGCCUGUGUUUUUAUUUAUUUUUGCACUAUUUUUCUGUUGUCAAUCCUUUAUAUUGAGCAUUUGGCUAACCAGUGGGCAACGGCCAGACCCCCUACCAAGGUGGAACAGCCCGCUUUUCUGGUUGAAUGAUCUGAGGUGGCGCAAAUUCACAUUCAAAGUCAGAGUGAGACCCGCUCUGACUGUUCGGCUCAGGCGCGAAGUGUUAUGCCAACCAAGCUCACAGAAUGAGACCACCGAUGCAAUCUUCACUCUCUCCCACUACUCUUCUAUCCCAUCCUCUUCCUUCUGUUAAAUCCUUCCUUCUGUCUCCUGACUGCCUUUUCAACCCUACUCUCCUCUCUUCGACUCCAACUGUCCCCUUUCUUCCUGGGCAGCCCGAUCCUCCUCUCCCGCUCCAUGGCUGAGUGACUCACUACGUGCUAACACAACAGGGUUGCUAACACAACAGUUAUGCAGAACUGGAAAAAAACAAAACUUCCGGAGGACCUAUCAUCCUUCCACUCCUUCUCCGUAGCAAGACUACAUGUGAGUAAUGUGUAGGAAGUGUGAAGAGGCUGUAAGAAAAGAUAAACACUUGUAUUUUAUUACAUUAUUUGUUUAUUGAUGUUUUUUAUUCUUAGCAGUGGGUGUAGACCAAGGCCGGACUGUCUCCUGAACUCGCCGUUUAACAGAUCCGGAGAUUGUAGGGAUGAGAGAGUGGGCAGAAACGGUUAAGGUAGGGGUGGUUGGAGCAGGGCUGGUUAAGGUAGGGGAGGUUGGGGCAGGGCUGGUUAAGGUAGGGGAGGUUGGGGCAGGGCUGGUUAAGGUAGGGGAGGUUGGGGCAGGGCUGGUUAAGGUAGGGGGGUUGGGGCAGUUUGUGAAGGCUGGGUGGAAUGGGUUGUGAUUACCGGUAAUGGGAAUGGGGAAAAUAAGAAAUCAAAGUGUGGUGCAGUAGGUGAUAUUAAUGUGAGGGGACUGGACAUGGAGGCUGAUGGUGUUCCCAGAGGAAGGGUGGGGGAGGCACUGGCAGUUCUUGAACUCACAGGCGUCUGGUGUUCUAGGGCGACUGACCCGGAGACAGAGAGCUGCCGAAGCACCUCCCGGGCCUCCCCUUCCCCCAGGCGAUCCUUCUCCAGCUGAAGGCGCUCCCUCUCCACCUGCAGGCGCUCUGUCUCCACCCUCAAGCGCUCUCUAUCCAGCUGGAGCCGGUUCUUCUCCACAUCCAGGUGUGCCUUCUGUGUUUCAUGUGCUUUUUGUAAUAAAUCAUAAAGAGCUUGGUGGAUGUGUUGGGCGGUCUGUGUAACAUGGAUUUGUUGUGUUUGUGUGUCCAGGAUUUGUUGGAACAGAUUGGCUUGGGGGCCCUGUGGUGUCCAGCCAGACGUGAUGGGUUGGGAUGUAGAGCCAGAGUGGAUGGAGUGAGAUGGUGCAGGACAGGAGGUGAUGGGUUGGGGUGUAGAGCCAGAGUGAGAUGGUGCAGGACAGGUGGUGAUGGGUUGGGGUGUAGAGCCAGAGUGGAUGGAGUGAGAUGGUGCAGGACAGGAGGUGAUGGGUUGGGGUGUAGAGCCAGAGUGGAUGGAGUGAGAUGGUGCAGGACAGGAGGUGAUGGGUUGGGGUUUACAGCCAGAGAGUGCAUCUGCAUUGCUUGCUAUUUGGGGUUUUAAGCUAGGUAUUUGUAAAGCACUUUGUGACAACUGCUGAUGUAAAAAGGGCUUUAUAAAAUAAAUUUGAUUCAUUGAUUGAGCCUGGAUUGAGUGAGCUGGUGCAGGACGGGAGGUGAUGGGUUGGGGUGUAGAGCCAGAGUGAGAUGGUGCAGGACGGGAGGUGAUGGGUUGGGGUGGCACUGUUGGUGCUGGCCAAGGUGUUGAUGGCGAGGUGGAGGGUAGCUCCUCCAUGGUGACAGAGGGUAAAGCUGACUCCACAGUUCCCUGUGCUGCUGGUAGGGGACCAGAGCUGGAGAUUUCUCCCUGAGAGAGACCUGGACAAGAGGAUUAGGUCAAUAUUAUUUAUCACUUGUUGAAAUUACUUCCUUUAAAAUGUCAUGUUUUCUGUUGGUUUACCAUUAUGGCAUUAUGCUUUUUCAUUCAAAUAAAGAACACACUUAAAUUAUUCCUGGAGUGUGUUCCAUCCUUUCCAUUCAUCAGGUACUCCUUUAACACGGGUGCUGAUGUAAUACAGUCUGUAUGGAAUUUAAUAAAGUUUGUGUGGCUCAGUGAAAUGUAAACUUUGCCUUGCCUCCUACAGGCUACUCAUGAGAGACCACACACACACACACACACACACAUCUGAGUCACUCUGCGCUAGUGGACUGAUUCAUUAGAUGUGUAGAUUAGCUUUUUGUUGUAAAAAUGUAAAUGUGGACAUUGCGUGUGCGUCAGUGUAUGGCACAGAGUGGCCAUGUCUCGCGUUUUGCCCUGCAGCCACUGGCUUAGCAUUAGAGGUCCACAAUGUCUAUACACUUUGCCUUGAAUCUAUGCUAUCGUGCCCAGAAACAUGCUCCUUUUAGUCUCUGUUCCGAACGUGCUAGACGGCCAGUUCGUA
rnacentral:lncRNA from 1 species